UUUGUUACUUUUACAAUCAGCGUAAAUGAGGAGGAAUGAUGGUCUGAAUUUGUGAAGCGAGUGGUAUCGCUCUCCGUCCCCGGCAGUCGGCUCCUCCUUGUUUUUUCUAAGCCACGAUUAGGCUCGUUGAGAGCAGGCAUGUGCAUGCAGACAGUGUUUGUUUUUACAUCUGUAGUGCCCUCUCCAGCUCAGUCAUCAUCCACAUACCCCAGGACACUGUCCGAGCCAAAGAGAUCAUCGCCCACGUCAACACGCAGAAGACUCAGGUCAGCUAUUAUGCAGAGGCUAUCUCAAGCUGCCAAAGACCAAUCGC
ensembl:lncRNA